rnacentral:rRNA from 1 species
UCAAGCGAAGAAGGGCGCAGGGCGGAUGCCUUGGCACUGAGAGCCGAUGAAAGACGUGAUAAGCUGCGAUAAGCUUCGGGGAGGAGCAAAUAUCCUUUGAUCCGGAGAUCUCUGAAUGGGGAAACCCGGCUGUAUGGACUACAGUCAUCCAUAAGUGAAUCCAUAGCUUAUGGAAGGGAACCCGGGGAACUGAAACAUCUAAGUACCCGGAGGAAGAGAAAGAAACAUCGAUUCCGUAAGUAGCGGCGAGCGAACGCGGAAGAGCCCAAACCGUGAUGCGUGCAUCGCGGGGUUCGGACUGCAUAAGGGAUUCAGUAACGGCAGGAGAACGGCUUUGGAACAGCCGGCCAGAGAGGGUGAGAGCCCCGUAUCCGAAGCCAGAGCUGACCCGGCAGGAUCCAGAGUACCACGGGACACGGGAAACCCUGUGGGAACGAGCGGAGACCACUCCGUAAGGCUAAAUACUACUCAGUGACCGAUAGCGUAUAGUACUGUGAAGGAAAGGUGAAAAGAACCCCGGGAGGGGAGUGAAAGAGAACCUGAAACCCUGUGUCUACAAGCUGUGGAAGUACUUCUCAGGUACGACCGCGUACUUUUUGUAGAACGGUCCGGCGAGCUGCGGGUACUGGCAAGGUUAAGCACUUCAGGUGCGGAGCCGCAGGGAAACCAAGUCUUAAGAGGGCGUUUUAGUCAGUACGUGCAGGCCCGAAACCGGGUGACCUAUCCAUGUCCAGGUUGAAGCCGCCGUAAAAGGCGAUGGAGGACCGAACCCACAUCCGUUGAAAAGGGUGGGGAUGAGGUGUGGAUAGCGGAGAAAUUCCAAUCGAACCCGGAGAUAGCUGGUUCUCCUCGAAAUAGCUUUAGGGCUAGCCUCAUACAAGUCUGCCGGAGGUAGAGCACUGAAUUUCCGCGGGGGCGUCAAAGCCUACCAAAGAAUAUCAAACUCCGAAUGCCGGACAGAUGGUGUUUGGGAGUCAGACUGUACGAGAUAAGUUGGACAGUCAAAAGGGAAAGAGCCCAGACCGCCGGCUAAGGUCCCAAAGUGGGUGUUAAGUGGAAAAGGAUGUGGGAUCUCUAAGACAACCAGGAUGUUGGCUCAGAAGCAGCCAUUCAUUAAAAGAGUGCGUAACAGCUCACUGGUCGAGAGGUCCUGCGCCGAAAAUGUCCGGGGCUGAAACACCACACCGAAGCCGCGGAACCCGUAAGGGUUGGUAGAGGAGCAUUCUUAGGGGAGUGAAGCAUUACCGGAAGGGGAUGUGGACCGCUAAGAAGAGAGAAUGCCGGAAUGAGUAGCGAGAGCAAGGUGGGAAUCCUUGCGGCCGAAUAUCCAAGGUUUCCAGAGUAAAGCUGAUCUGCUCUGGGUAAGUCGGGGCCUAAGGAGAGGCAGAGAUGCGUAUCCGAUGGACAGCAGGUUUAAGAUUCCUGCACCCCUUGUUAUCAGAACUGCGGGGACACGGGAAGGGAAGCAGAGCCGGGAAUGGAAAGCCCGGUGCAAGCGAAGGAGUCGCAGGGUUGGAAAAUCCGCCCUGCAUAAGACGAAGGCGUGAUGCGGAGCGAAAUGAAGUAGUGAAGCUGCGGCCCCUUCCUGUCGAGAAAAGCCGCUAUCGUGUAGCAAGGGCCCGUACCGUAAACCGACACAGGUGGAUGAGGAGAGGAUCCUAAGGCCGGCGGGAGAAGUGUUGUUAAGGAACUCGGCAAAAUGACUCCGUAACUUCGGGAGAAGGAGUGCUGCGCAAGCAGCCGCAGAGAAAUGGCCCAAGCAACUGUUUAGCAAAAACACAGGUCUAUGCGAAACCGGAAGGUGAGGUAUAUGGGCUGACGCCUGCCCGGUGCUGGAAGGUUAAGGGGAGAGCUUAGCGCGAGCGAAGGUUUGAACUUAAGCCCCAGUAAACGGCGGCCGUAACUAUAACGGUCCUAAGGUAGCGAAAUUCCUUGUCGGGUAAGUUCCGACCCGCACGAAAGGCGUAAUGAUUUGGGCACUGUCUCAACAACACACCCGGUGAAAUUGAAAUACCAGUGAAGAUGCUGGUUACCCGCGCCAGGACGGAAAGACCCCAUGGAGCUUUACUCCAGCCUGAUACUGGGAUUCGGUAUUGCAUGUACAGGAUAGGUGGGAGGCUAAGAACUCAUGGCGCCAGCCGUGAG